UGAAUACGAGACGCUAAGGCGUCGAAGUAGUGUAUGUCAUACUUCCAAGAAAAGCUUGCACUGUCAUAGAUAAAAAACGCCUGUACCAUAACCGACACAGGUGGGUAGGUAGAGUAUACUAAGGGGCGCGAGAUAACUCUCUCUAAGGAACUCGGCAAAAUAACUCCGUAACUUCGGGAGAAGGAGUGCCUUAUUCGUAAGGUUGCAAUAACAAGAUCCAAGCAACUGUUUAUCAAAAACACAGGUCUCCGCUAAGUCGUAAGACGAUGUAUGGGGGCUGACGCCUGCCCAGUGCCAGAAGGUUAAAGAAGUUGGUUAGCAAUUGCGAAGCUGAUAACUGAAGCCCUGGUGAACGGCGGCCGUAACAAUAACGGUCCUAAGGUAGCGAAAUUCCUUGUCGGGUAAGUUCCGACCCGCACGAAAGGCGUAAUGAUUUGGAUACUGUCUCGGAGAGGGGCUCGGUGAAAUAGACUUGUCUGUGAAGAUGCGGACUACCUGCACCAGGACAGAAAGACCCUAUGAAGCUUUACUGUAACUUGAAAUUGAAAUUGGACUUUAUUCGCGCAGUAUAGGUGGGAGGCGUUGAUUAUAAUCUUGUGGGAUUAUUGGAGCCAUCAGUGAGAUACCACUCUUGUAAUGUUAGAUUUCUAACUUUGAAUCAUUAUCUGGUCAAAGAACAGUUUCAGGCGGGCAGUUUGACUGGGGCGGUCGCCUCCUAAACGGUAACGGAGGCGUACAAAGGUUUCCUCUGAACGGUUAGAAAUCGUAUCUAGAGUGUAAAGGCAUAAGGAAGCUUGACUGUGAGACCUACAAGUCGAGCGGGGACGAAAGUCGGUCUUAGUGAUCUGACGGUACUGAGUGGAAAGGCCGUCACUCAACGGAUAAAAGUUACUCUAGGGAUAACAAGCUGAUCUCCCCCAAGAGUUCACAUCGACGGGGAGGUUUGGCACCUCGAUGUCGGCUCAUCGCAUCCUGGGGCGGUAGUACGUCCCAAGGGUUGGGCUGUUCGCCCAUGAAAGCGGUACGCGAGCUGGGUUCAGAACGUCGUGAGACAGUUCGGUCCAUAUCCGGUGUAGGCGUUAGAAUAUUGAGAGGAGCCUUCUUUAGUACGAGAGGACCGAGAAGGACAUACCUCUGGUGUACCAGUUAUCGAGCCAACGGUAGACGCUGGGUAGCUAUGUAUGGAGUGGAUAACCGCUGAAAGCAUCUAAGUGGGAAGCCCACCUCAAGAUAAGUAUUCUC
rnacentral:rRNA from 1 species